GCCCGUGGUAUAUUAUGAUCAGCGGUAUCGCUUCGCAAAACCACAGCUAUCCCAUCGUGUUAAUAAAGCAAUAUUCGCACAUGGCCGGCAGUCAUGGCUGCCUGCGAUAGCACCUACUGAAUGCGAUAAAUCAAUUUAGCUCGGUAAUUGACAGGAAGACCUCAUGGGAAUGUACCUCUUGGCCUUGCGUUUAGCGACAGUAUCAAAGGCAAACCGACCACUUUAACUGUGGUGUUUUCACUUGUUCGCUCUAUAGUUUGCCAAGAAUCUGUGUGAGAGCAGGGCCUUUAAACGUUGUUGACAUCACGGAAGAACGAGCAAACAUGAUGAGGUUAAUCUCUGGCACAUGCUACAACGAUAUCCACCGGUGAAUCGUCAAUAUUUGCAAAGUGUGCAAGGAUGACGAUGGAGAAGACUGGCUGGGUUGUGACGCCUGUGUCCAGUACUUCCACUGCGGCUGUUUACCGGGCGUCAAUUUCGCCGAGGCUGUAACCGGCGUUUCCUUCUGCCCUUGUAAAUAUUACAUGUUACUCGCGAAGUAUUCCGCAGAUCUGCCAGAGAUUUCUAGUAUCCCCCUAGUAUUCUAUUUCUAGUAGCGAGGGAUCAAUUUCCUCAGAUGUGAGAGAGAAACUAGAGAUAGCCGAAUUAGUCGGAGCAGUUUGGCAGUUUCACCGAGGAUGUGUAAUUAGAGGGACAAUAGGAGAGCCGGAAGCUAUAGACAAAGCUUGUAUGGGUAUUGUAUAUGGUCCUAUGACAGUAGGUUAGAUAGUGAUUGUAUUGUGUAACACGAGCAUUGUAUUUAGUUAGAGUUAGACUAGUGAAUAAAGGCAAUAAGCCAUCAAGGCUUAAAAGUCCA